GACAGGAAAUUCCUAUCCAGGAUUAGCAGCCUGUUAGGUGGCAAGAAAGCCUGUGGGGACUUUGACUGGCCAGAUUGGCUGCAGAAAGGAAGGCUUCAGCCAGGAAGACAAUGAUUGAAACUAUGCUAUCUGUCUGAGAGGUCUCCUUUCAUCUGGAAAGGGUGAGACUGCCUGGAGUGCUGGAGCUGUAAGCAGAAGUAGAUUGUUGCAAGACCAAAGAGCUGUUUUGUGGGGAAAACAGAGGCAGAGUUGCUGCAACUCUAUAACUGGCCAUGAAGAGAUGCCCUGGCUGGACCAAAAUGCCACUCGGCUAGACUGGCCUGCUGAUGUUACAUAAUAUCAAUGCUGCCACAGGCAACAGGAAAAGCCCUGGGAACUUUUGAAUUUCAUUUC